ACGAAACAUCAGCGCGAGAAGAUGUACAUCCAGACCAGAAUGGUUCAUUAUGCAGAGGAACUGUGGGAAGUAUGGACUUGAGGGAAUGGAAGAAGGCACCAGCGACAUGAUGGUUUCUUUGGCUGCGGAAGACGGUACGAUUGGAUAGAGUACAAGAGGCAAUUGAAGAAGGCAGAGCAAUGGAAUGUUGAAGUUUACUGAUCAACACAAAUAACCGAAGAACCAGUCCUUCCAUUGAUUCAUAUUUACCGUGCAAAUGGGUGACUUUUCCUGCAACUUGCAUUGAUUUUACGUUCA